UACGUAGGGGGCUAGCGUUGUUCGGAAUUACUGGGCGUAAAGCGCACGUAGGCGGCUUUGCAAGUUAGCGGUGAAAGCCCGGGGCUCAACUCCGGAAUUGCCUUUAAAACUGCAUCGCUAGAAUUGUGGAGAGGUAAGUGGAAUUCCGAGUGUAGAGGUGAAAUUCGUAGAUAUUCGGAAGAACACCAGUGGCGAAGGCGACUUACUGGACACAUAUUGACGCUGAGGUGCGAAAGCGUGGGGAGCAAACAGG
rnacentral:rRNA from 1 species